AUUGAACGCUGGCGGCAGGCCUAACACAUGCAAGUCGAACGGUAACAGGAAGAAGCUUGCUUCUUUGCUGACGAGUGGCGGACGGGUGAGUAAUGUCUGGGAAACUGCCUGAUGGAGGGGGAUAACUACUGGAAACGGUAGCUAAUACCGCAUAACGUCGCAAGACCAAAGAGGGGGACCUUCGGGCCUCUUGCCAUCGGAUGUGCCCAGAUGGGAUUAGCUAGUAGGUGGGGUAACGGCUCACCUAGGCGACGAUCCCUAGCUGGUCUGAGAGGAUGACCGGCAACACUGGAACGAGGACACGGUCCAAACUCCUACGGAGGGCAGCGGUGGGAAAUAUUGCACAAUGGGGGCAGGCCUAAUGCAGCCAUGCGGCGUGUAUAAGAAGGGCCUUCGGGUUGUAAGUACUUUCAGCGGGGAGGAAGGGAGUAAAGUUAAUACCUUUGCUCAUUGACGUUACCCGCAGAAGAAGCACCGGCUAACUCCGUG
rnacentral:rRNA from 1 species